ACAGCCAUGAGAGGAGGCGCCUCUGCUCCGGUCCUGGGCCAAUGGUGCAUAGAGCAGCCUUAUCAUACAAUAUACCCGACUGGCCAAUGACGCACCUCUCCCCGGCUCACAUGACGCCUUUCUGUGCGCUCCCACUACUCUCAGCACUCAAUCCCGGUGAGUGAAGGCGUCAUUGAAGACCUGACAGCGGCGGAAUCGGACGUCUGCUGUUCUCGGCAAAAUGAACCAGGCGUCGUCGUGUGUACAUUUUAUCGCCAUCAGAUGAGGCUGACCAUUCGGUCGACGAGAACCACCCCGCUUCGCUGGAGGAGCAGACUUUUUUUUUCGUCUCCAAACGACCGGAGAGGCGCAGGGGCGAGACAAUAACGGCCAGAAGUUAUUGGAAUGAAUCGUCAUGAAAGGAACUGGCACAAGUACAAGAAGCAGAAGAAGCAUCAGCAGUGUUAGUCUUCACUGCAGAAGGCAAGGAAGGGAGGCCGAAAGCCACCGAGAGCAGAAGGCAACCAGGAAAAGACAAGUAAUGGAAGAGGUCCAGACAUGAAGGAGGCAGGCAUGUGUGCACGUGCACAUACAAACACCUAGAGUCUGUCUGCAGUCUACCAUCAGCCUACCACAGGCAGUAGAUAAAGAGGGAGACGCCAUCCCAGCUGUAACAAGAUGGAAGAAGUCAGCAUACACUCACAAACAUGCCCGAGAAGCGCACAAAGCCAGAGGCACAUGGGCAGGUGCACUUUGUGAAUGCAGGUGCAAAGAACGUGGUGAAAAAGCACAGUGGAUGCAUUUCUAUGACCUCUAAUUCUAAGAGAUACCAGAUUACUGUUCAGGGAUGAAGUUUGUAGAUAUCUGAUAUGUCAAAAUGGAGAAAAUAGCUUCAUCAAGUAUGGUAAAACACAAAUGGCAUUUUGAGUGUUGUUCUUGCCCAACAAAGAAGGGACAGAGUUAGAAGCCUCUCUGCCCACAGAGAAGACUUGGUCCCUCUGCAAAACUAAGCAGAAUGCCAUCUCUGGUCACCAUCAGGUCUGUGUUCGCCCCAGUGAACAUUCAACGCUGUCGGUGAGUUUGAGCUAAAUUGAAAAAACCAUCGACCGUUGAUUGUACCCUGUGGCCAGCCUUUGUCACUCCUUGUCUCAAAAAGAAGUCAAACGCAUACAGAAACCUGCACACAAGCACAGCCGGCAACUUCUUAAACAAUCACAUGAAGAACAGUGUUCCUCCACAAACAAGCAAACAAAAAUACCCCCCAGCUUCUAAAGCACAGCAAAGGUCACAAUCAACAUUCAUUGCUGUCGGUGGGUUUAACUGUGUGGAAGAGCUCACUGAACGAUGAAUGCAACUGUGUCCCAGAUUUCAUCUGACCGUCACAAGGGAUAGUGUCACAAUAUGCUGAUGAGGGUAUUAUUUAUUUCUCCGCCUGCCCCCCGCUUUGCCUCCCACCAACAACAGACUGUGUGAGAGAUUGCAUCGUGAUCAUGUUGGCCGGAGCGAAGGGGUCCACGUCUGGCUACAUCAGCAGGGGAGGAAGGAAAAAAGAUGCAAGAGAUAGCUGGAACAAAUUAUCUUUAAAUAAAAAAUGAAGAAAGACUGUAUGGCUUGUAUUGGAUCUAGGAUUUGGUAAACUAUUUAGUUGUAGUAAAUAUUACAUGAAAAAUAGAUGGAAAGAAUAUUUUAAAAAGAACAGAUGCAUUCCACAAUAAUCAAGGACCUUUUUGGAAUAAAAAUGAUUUAUGAAGUUUAUCAGCCAAAACACAUAUUUUUCAAAUGGUAGACAUCAUAAAAAAGUGAUAUAUAAUAUAAAUGCUCAUUUGGUUUUCAUAUAUUUUUCUGCCAGAUAAAGGAAUUAAAGACUGAUCAUGCUAUAUAACUUUACUAUGUAGUCCUGAUUGUUACAAUAUUAUAUGCUGCUUGGUUUGUUGUAAUUUAUCAAAUAAACUGUUGACC